rnacentral:rRNA from 1 species
UCCGGGAUUUUUCCUUAAGCCGUGAUCCCAAUUCCCCCCUGUUUUUGGGGAAGAGAGGCCGGCCUUGGUUGUGUUUUUGGGAGAGCCCCCGCGGUUUUUUAGUUGGUGGGGGCGGUAACGGCUCCACCAAGGGGGAUCUUUCCUUCACCGAAUUGGAGGGCUUCCUUCGGCCCCAUUGGGACUGGGACCAGGCCCCAAAUUCUUACGGGAGGCAGCAUUAGGGAAUCUUCCACAAUGGACCCAAGUCUGAUGGAGCAACGCCGCGUGGAAGAAGAAAGGCUUUCGGGUCGUAAAACUCUGUUGUUGGAGAAGAAUGGUCGGCAGAGUAACUGUUGUCGGCGUGACGGUAUCCAACCAGAAAGCCACGGCUAACUACGUGCCAGCAGCCGCGGUAAUACGUAGGUGGCAAGCGUUAUCCGGAUUUAUUGGGCGUAAAGCGAGCGCAGGCGGUUUUUUAAGUCUGAUGUGAAAGCCCUCGGCUUAACCGAGGAAGCGCAUCGGAAACUGGGAAACUUGAGUGCAGAAGAGGACAGUGGAACUCCAUGUGUAGCGGUGAAAUGCGUAGAUAUAUGGAAGAACACCAGUGGCGAAGGCGGCUGUCUGGUCUGUAACUGACGCUGAGGCUCGAAAGCAUGGGUAGCGAACAGGAUUAGAUACCCUGGUAGUCCAUGCCGUAAACGAUGAAUGCUAGGUGUUGGAGGGUUUCCGCCCUUCAGUGCCGCAGCUAACGCAUUAAGCAUUCCGCCUGGGGAGUACGACCGCAAGGUUGAAACUCAAAGGAAUUGACGGGGGCCCGCACAAGCGGUGGAGCAUGUGGUUUAAUUCGAAGCAACGCGAAGAACCUUACCAGGUCUUGACAUCUUUUGAUCACCUGAGAGAUCAGGUUUCCCCUUCGGGGGCAAAAUGACAGGUGGUGCAUGGUUGUCGUCAGCUCGUGUCGUGAGAUGUUGGGUUAAGUCCCGCAACGAGCGCAACCCUUAUGACUAGUUGCCAGCAUUUAGUUGGGCACUCUAGUAAGACUGCCGGUGACAAACCGGAGGAAGGUGGGGAUGACGUCAAAUCAUCAUGCCCCUUAUGACCUGGGCUACACACGUGCUACAAUGGAUGGUACAACGAGUUGCGAGACCGCGAGGUCAAGCUAAUCUCUUAAAGCCAUUCUCAGUUCGGACUGUAGGCUGCAACUCGCCUACACGAAGUCGGAAUCGCUAGUAAUCGCGGAUCAGCACGCCGCGGUGAAUACGUUCCCGGGCCUUGUACACACCGCCCGUCACACCAUGAGAGUUUGUAACACCCGAAGCCGGUGGCGUAACCCUUUAGGGAGCGAGCCGUCUAAGGUGGAACAAGAUGGGA